rnacentral:rRNA from 1 species
GUGUCAGCAGCCGCGGUAAUACGUAGGGUGCGAGCGUUAAUCGGAAUUACUGGGCGUAAAGCGUGCGCAGGCGGUGAUGUAAGACGGAUGUGAAAUCCCCGGGCUCAACCUGGGAACUGCAUUUGUGACUGCAUCGCUGGAGUGCGGCAGAGGGGGAUGGAAUUCCGCGUGUAGCAGUGAAAUGCGUAGAUAUGCGGAGGAACACCGAUGGCGAAGGCAAUCCCCUGGGCCUGCACUGACGCUCAUGCACGAAAGCGUGGGGAGCAAACAGGAUUAGAAACCCGUGUAGUCC